CAGUAGCCGCGGUAAAACGAGGGGUGCAAGCGUUAUUCGGAUUGAUUGGGUGUAAAGGGUGUGCAGACGGCUUAUUAAGUCACUUGUUAAAUUCUUCGGCCUAACUGAAGGUCUGCAAGUGAUACUGAUGAGCUAGAGGGUGGAAGAGAGAAGUGGAAUUCUCGGAGUAGCGGUAAAAUGCGUAGAUCUCGAGAGGAACACCAAUGGCGAAGGCAGCUUCUUGGUCCAUUCCUGACGUUCAUACACGAAAGCGUGGAGAGCAAACAGGAUUAGAUACCCCCGUAGUCCCUGUCUCUUAUAC
rnacentral:rRNA from 1 species